CGGGGUACACGAGCGGCGAACGGGUGAGUAACACGUGGGUGAUCUGCCUUGCACUUCGGGAUAAGCCUGGGAAACUGGGUCUAAUACCGGAUAUGACCUCGAAUCGCAUGGUUCGGGGUGGAAAGAUUUAUCGGUGCGAGAUGGGCCCGCGGCCUAUCAGCUUGUUGGUGAGGUAACGGCUCACCAAGGCGACGACGGGUAGCCGACCUGAGAGGGUGACCGGCCACACUGGGACUGAGACACGGCCCAGACUCCUACGGGAGGCAGCAGUGGGGAAUAUUGCACAAUGGGCGCAAGCCUGAUGCAGCGACGCCGCGUGCGGGAUGACGGCCUUCGGGUUGUAAACCGCUUUUGACAGGGACGAAGCGCAAGUGACUGUACCUGUAGAAUAAGGACCGGCCAACUACGUGCCAGCAGCCGCGGUAAUACGUAGGGUCCGAGCGUUGUCCGGAAUUACUGGGCGUAAAGAGCUUGUAGGCGGUUCGUCGCGUCGUUUGUGAAAACUUGGGGCUCAACCUUAAGCUUGCAGGCGAUACGGGCGGACUAGAGUACUUCAGGGGAGACUGGAAUUCCUGGUGUAGCGGUGAAAUGCGCAGAUAUCAGGAGGAACACCGGUGGCGAAGGCGGGUCUCUGGGAAGUAACUGACGCUGAGAAGCGAAAGCAUGGGUAGCAAACAGGAUUAGAUACCCUGGUAGUCCAUGCCGUAAACGGUGGGUACUAGGUGUGGGGCUCCUUCCACGGACUCCGUGCCGUAGCUAACGCAUUAAGUACCCCGCCUGGGGAGUACGGCCGCAAGGCUAAAACUCAAAGAAAUUGACGGGGGCCCGCACAAGCGGCGGAGCAUGUGGAUUAAUUCGAUGCAACGCGAAGAACCUUACCUGGGUUUGACAUACACCGGAAACCUGCAGAGAUGUAGGCCCCCUUGUGGUCGGUGUACAGGUGGUGCAUGGCUGUCGUCAGCUCGUGUCGUGAGAUGUUGGGUUAAGUCCCGCAACGAGCGCAACCCUUAUCUUAUGUUGCCAGCGCGUAAUGGCGGGGACUCGUGAGAGACUGCCGGGGUCAACUCGGAGGAAGGUGGGGACGACGUCAAGUCAUCAUGCCCCUUAUGUCCAGGGCUUCACACAUGCUACAAUGGCCGGUACAGAGGGCUGCGAUACCGUGAGGUGGAGCGAAUCCCUUAAAGCCGGUCUCAGUUCGGAUCGGGGUCUGCAACUCGACCCCGUGAAGUUGGAGUCGCUAGUAAUCGCAGAUCAGCAACGCUGCGGUGAAUACGUUCCCGGGCCUUGUACACACCGCCCGUCACGUCNGAAAGUCGGUAACACCCGAAGCCG
rnacentral:rRNA from 1 species